GGGGAUGUGGUUCAAUAGCAGAGCUGUUGCUUGGCAUGCAUAAGACCCUGGGUUCAAUCCCCAGCACCACCC
rnacentral:tRNA from 1 species